AUUACAUAGGGUGUGCUGAUGAAUUACAGUAACGAUCAAAUACUCAGGAUGUGGAGCCUAGACAUCCAUCCAGUCUUCCCUUCCCCUGCACCAUGAACCAGCACAUUGAAGGUCAUACUAUUAAACAUUUCGUCACCCCAGAAUAUAGGAUUGUGUUGAUCAGCCAGUCCUGAUGUUUGCCCACCAAAAACUCCAGCACUCCUCUCUUGUCGGCAUGGGGUCCAUGCAUGCCUCAGUCCUCUCAUCCUCACAGGUUUUUCUCCACCAAGAAUGACUGACAGAUCCUGGGGCAGAAGAGACUACAGAGGAUCAAGUAGAAUCGAAUGCUGACACAAUGGGAACAAGACUGACAUGUGCAAGCAAG